GCCCUAGUGUGGUGGUUUGAGUGUCAGACUACGACUCUGGAGACCAGGGUUCAAUUCUCCGCUUGGCCA